GAGAGUUUGCCCGAGGCGGAUGAAUACACGGAAUCAGCUGAUUGUGUUUACUCUCGAGAAUUUGGGAAACUUCGACCCGUGUUUACCACAACAUGGUGUCAGAAAGAACAGCAUAAUGAGACGAUCCAUCCAAGAGUGAAUCACCCUUAUUGACUGACGAAAAUAGAC